rnacentral:rRNA from 1 species
GGAGGGUGCAAGCAUUGAUCGGAAUUACUGGGCGUAAAGGGCGCGCAGGCGGUCAGGAAAGUCAGAUGUGAAAUUCCGGGGCUCAACUCCGGAGCGGCAUUUGAAACUUCCCGACUCGAGUACAGUUAGGGAAAACGAAAUUCCACGUGUAGCGGUGAAAUGCGUAGAUAUGUGGAAGAACACCGGUGGUGAAGACGGUUUUCUGGGCUGUAACUGACGCUGAGGCGCGAAAGCUAGGGGAGCAAACAGGAUUAGAUACCCUGGUAGUCCUAGCCGUAAACGAUGCAUACUAGGAGUAGGAAGGCUCAACCCUUUCUGUUUCGGAGCUAACGCAUUAAGUAUGCCGCCUGAGGAGUACGCUCGCAAGGGUG